rnacentral:lncRNA from 1 species
CUCCCAUUGUGGCCACGAGAUAGCUGCUGUGGCUGCAGACAGCACAUCCUCUCUGCUCCAACUCGGGAGCCUCUGCCCCGUGUCCCAUCGAAAAGUGUCAUGGGUUCUCAUUGGUUCUGACUGGGGCACAUACCCACCUGGGUCACUUCAUAUGGCCUGGGGAAUCCAGUGGACUGGCUUAGGACAGGGUCAUGUGCUCCCCUGGGGAGGGAGAUUGAGAGUGGAGCAGGGGUGACAUCCCCACAAGAAUCAGGAUGCAGUUUGCAGGAGAAGAGAAAAUCAGUGCUGGAAAGCCAAAAAAAAGCAACAAGGCAACAUUACUACUGUUCAUAACAACAGUUGUAAGUCACUCUCAGCCUCACACUUGCUGGGUCCUGUGUAUCCCCACCCCACUGGGCUUGAGACCUUCGAUAGCGAAGAGGAGUUCUGCUCUGCCAACAGAAAAACCGGAGGCAGCAGGGGAGGGAGGAGCUGGCUGUUCCUCCUCAACCCAAGUUGGCUGCUCCCUGCGCAGGGAGGUUGGCACCUGCGGGCCCGGGGUCUCCGCGGGGAAGCUGGCCCAGGCGCCUGCUCCGGGCAGCUGUGGCCGUAACUCUCCACCUCAGUCAGCUCGGCUGCUGUGACAGAAUCUCACAGACGGGCGGCUCAGACAUCAGCCGUUCACUCCUCACAGCCCCGGAGGCUGCGGGUCCAGGACCAAGGUGGCCGCCCGCUCCUUGCCAGCAAAUUUCUGAUACAUAGCGUCAGGAAGCUCACCUUGAAGAUAAGAGAAAGAAAGAGAAAAGCUGCCUUCCUGCC